rnacentral:rRNA from 1 species
AUGAACGCUGGCGGCGUGCCUAAUCCCUGCAAGUCGAGCGAACAGAUGAGGAGCUUGCUCCUCUGACGUUAGCGGCGGACGGGUGAGUAACACGUGGAUAACCUACCUAUAAGACUGGGAUAACUUCGGGAAACCGGAGCUAAUACCGGAUAAUAUAUUGAACCGCAUGGUUCAAUAGUGAAAGACGGUUUUGCUGUCACUUAUAGAUGGAUCCGCGCCGCAUUAGCUAGUUGGUAAGGUAACGGCUUACCAAGGCGACGAUGCGUAGCCGACCUGAGAGGGUGAUCGGCCACACUGGAACUGAGACACGGUCCAGACUCCUACGGGAGGCAGCAGUAGGGAAUCUUCCGCAAUGGGCGAAAGCCUGACGGAGCAACGCCGCGUGAGUGAUGAAGGUCUUCGGAUCGUAAAACUCUGUUAUUAGGGAAGAACAAAUGUGUAAGUAACUAUGCACGUCUUGACGGUACCUAAUCAGAAAGCCACGGCUAACUACGUG